rnacentral:rRNA from 1 species
UACGUAGGGUCCGAGCGUUGUCCGGAAUUUAUUGGGCGUAAAGAGCUCGUAGGCGGUCUGUUACGUCUGCUGUGAAAACCCGGGGCUUAACCCUGGGCUUGCAGUGGAUACGGGCAGACUAGAGGCAGGUAGGGGAGAAUGGAAUUCCCGGUGUAGCGGUGAAAUGCGCAGAUAUCAGGAAGAACACCCGUGGCGAAGGCGGCUCUCUGGGACGGUACUGACGCUGAGACGCGAAAGCGUGGGGGAGCGAACAGG